GAAAGCUCAGCUGGUUAGAGCUGAGCAUGAUGCUGGUAACAUCAAUGUUGCAGGUUCGAUCCCUGUAUGGGACA